UACGGGGGGAGCAAGCGUUGUUCGGAUUUACUGGGCGUAAAGGGCGCGUAGGCGGCCACCGCAAGUCGGUUGUGAAAUCUCUGGGCUUAACCCAGAAAGGUCAACCGAUACUGCGGGGCUAGAGUGCAGAAGGGGCAACUGGAAUUCUCGGUGUAGCGGUGAAAUGCGUAGAUAAUCGAGAGGAACAUCUGUGGCGAAGGCGGCCAUCUGGACCAGCACUGACACUGAGGCACGAAAGCGUGGGGAGCAAACAGGG
rnacentral:rRNA from 1 species